rnacentral:tRNA from 1 species
UAUUGCUAUGGUGAAAUAGGUAGACACACAGGCUUGAGGUGUCUGGGGCCUUUUGGGGCCUUCCCGGUUCAAGUCCGGGUAGCAAUAA